CUGGUGUCAGCCGCCGCGGUAAUACCAGCACCCCGAGUGGUCGGGACGUUUAUUGGGCCUAAAGCAUCCGUAGCCGGUUCUGCAAGUCUUCCGUUAAAUCCACCUGCUUAACAGAUGGGCCGCGGAAGAUACUAUAGAGCUAGGAGGCGGGAGAGGCAAGCGGUACUCGAUGGGUAGGGGUAAAAUCCGUUGAUCCAUUGAAGACCACCAGUGGCGAAGGCGGCUUGCCAGAACGCGCUCGACGGCGAGGGAUGAAAGCUGGGGGAGCAAACCGGAUUAGAUACCCGGGUAGUCCCAGCUGUAAACGAUGCAGACUCGGUGAUGAAUUGGCUUUAUGCCAAUUCAGUGCCGCAGGGAAGCCGUUAAGUUUGCCGCCUGGGGAGUACGGUCGCAAGACUGAAACUUAAAG
rnacentral:rRNA from 2 species